AAGGUCGGAUAUUUUCCAAAUGUGUUGAAAUGCAUGCUGGUUCCGACCUGUAGACCAGUGAAGUUCAUACCGAGCUGAUGCGAGUGCUGGAUUGGGCAGGCAGCUGGCAGGCUCACAUCUCAACAGUUUCUUAGCCUCGGUAAAGAGCCAUGUUUGACCCUGACUAGCCACCGUACAGGCCUUUCUGGGCGUGCAAGCCACAAGAUUUAGACUGCCUGACCAUCUAAAUUUUGGGCCCGAGAGGGACUUAUUUUGGCUUUUGGUUUUACUUAACCACAUACACACACAUCCUAGCUGUCAGCAAAGCCACACCCCUGUCCAGCCCUCUAAGUCUAGGGCGGAGGGUGGCCCGUGGGCGUCACGUGACGCGCGCGUCCUGCGUCUCCUCCCCGGCAACCGUCCGGAGACACACACCUCCGGCUGCAACAUGAACGUCAUCUAUCCGCUGGCGGUGCCCAAGGGCCGCCGGAUCUGCUGUGAGGUGUGCGAAGCCCCGGCCGAACGGGUGUGCACGGCUUGCACAGUCACUUAUUACUGCGGUGUGGUUCAUCAAAGAGCCGACUGGGGCAGUAUCCACGAGAAGAUAUGUCAGCUCUUGAUUCCACUGCGCACUUCCAUGCCUUUCUACAAUUCAGAAGAAGAGCGGCAGCAUGGCCUGCAGCAGCUGCAACAGCGGCAGAAACAUUUGAUUGAAUUCUGCUACACCGUAGCCCAGAAAUAUCUCUUUGAAGGAAAACAUGAAGCUGCUGUACCAGCAGCUUUGCAUUCUCUUCGCUUUCGCAUGAAUGUGCAUGGCCUGAGCUCAGUAGAGCUUGUGCCGGCUUACCUGCUGCUGGCGGAGGCUAGCCUUGGUAUGGGUCAGAUUAUUCAGGCUGAAGAGUAUCUUUCCCAGGCCCAGUGGACAGUCCUCAAAUCUACUGAUUGUAGUCAUGCCAUUCACUCUUUGCUGCAUCGGAACCUGGGACUUCUCUUUAUGGCUAAGAAAAACUAUGAGGAAGCCCGUUAUCAUCUGGCCAAUGAUAUUUAUUUUGCCAGUUGUGCCUUUGGAACCGAGGACAUCAGGACCUCAGGAGGCUACUUCCAUUUGGCUAAUAUUUUCUUUGGUCUAGGAAAGCUGGAUAUCGCAGACACACUCUACAUCAAGGUUACUGAGAUCUGGAACAAAUAUUUGAAUAAUCACUAUGAAGUCCUCCUCCAAGUUCGUACCCAACAAAUAGAUUUACUGGGCAAACAAUUUGAGACUGACACUGGCUUGGGUCAAUACAUAGUAACUAAAGCAGAGUUCAAAAGCUGCUGCAGUAAUAUAGUAAACAAACUCACAUGGACAGAGGAGACCAAGAAGAUGACUGCUGAAGCUUCUUUGAAUUUGGAGAAGAAUGGAACAAAAAUCCCUUGCUCCCACCUCUUGUUAUAGAAUGAAAACUGAGUUGAAUCAAUGAAUCAAGGAACCCUGCGGUGACAUACUCCUUGUAUUGGGGGCCAAAGAGAUCAAGAGUUCAAUACUCAGAAAGAGAAAGCUUAGCAAUGUUGGGAAACAUGGGGACAAGCACUUUGGUUUUUUUUUUUUUUAAGGUUUUUCUGGUAAUGUCAUGCUAGGCAAGACUGGAGAAGUGCUUGAAACUGCUUGGUUUCCUCUCUACCUGCAGAGCAGUCCUCUGCUGAAGAACUGUGAUUUGUACAGUUUCCAUCACUGUCCCUGUGAAGCUUUCAGAAAGCUGAGUACCCUAGAAGCUCCUGUGCUUAGCAGUGAGGAUGAAGCCCAGGAAGCAGAAGCCAUUAGGACGCUAACCUCAAUCUUGGACAUUCGAGAGUCUACAUCUGACAAAAC